UACAGAGGUCUCAAGCGUUGUUCGGAUUCAUUGGGCGUACAGGGUGCGUAGGCGGCGCGGUAAGUCGGGUGUGAAAUUUCGAGGCUUAACUUCGAAACUGCAUUCGAUACUGCCGUGCUUGAGGACUGGAGAGGAGACUGGAAUUUACGGUGUAGCGGUGAAAUGCGUAGAUAUCGUAAGGAAGACCAGUGGCGAAGGCGGGUCUCUGGACAGUUCCUGACGCUGAGGCACGAAGGCCAGGGGAGCAAACGGG
rnacentral:rRNA from 1 species